UACGGGGGGGGUAAGCGUUGUUCGGAAUUACUGGGCGUAAAGGGCUCGUAGGCGGCCAACUAAGUCAGACGUGAAAUCCCUCGGCUCAACCGGGGAACUGCGUCUGAUACUGGGUGGCUUGAAUCCGGGAGAGGGAUGCGGAAUUCCAGGUGUAGCGGUGAAAUGCGUAGAUAUCUGGAGGAACACCGGUGGCGAAGGCGGCAUCCUGGACCGGCAUUGACGCUGAGGCGCGAAAGCGUGGGGAGCAAACAGG
rnacentral:rRNA from 1 species